rnacentral:lncRNA from 1 species
GGCAUAUAUGUGUUUGAAUUGGAUGAUGAAUAUGAGGAGAGUGAUAUUCCUACCACUUUAAUAAAAAGGAAAGCUGAUUGCCCAAUGUUAGAGUGUCAGGCUACAUUAAUGACAAAUGAAAUUGUUAUCAAUGAAUUGACACAAAUCCUGUCUUACUUAUGACGAAUUAAGAGUCUAAGAAAAUGAAGAAGAAAGAGAAAGAGGUACAAGUUAAAAUGAGUAAUUUUUCAGCUCCUAAGAAACCAGCUGUGCAAAAGGAAGAGAGAAAAGUUUAUUGUUACUGGAGCAUUGGUGAUGUGGCUGUAUCUCCAUCUCCAUGCCUCUACGUUCUCUAUUAAAUAGAGCAUGGGGGUAGAAAAUUGGACCACACACACCACUUGUUGCAUUCUAUGAUGAUGCUUGAAUUUCUGGAUUCUGUACUGUCACCAUGCUGUACAAUACAUUCUACACCACUCAUGCUAUUUUUACAGUACAUCUCUCUCACUCAGUUUCAUCCCACUUCAAUGAGAAUUGGAGGAUUGUCUCAAGAGCUGCCACAUCUCCUGAAUCAUUUUAAGGUACAUGAUAUGUCCUCUCAGUGGCCACUCCAUACUUUGGGUGCUGUUUAGGCUAAGGGAUCCCAUGACCAUAGUCUACUUUCACUAGCUGACCCUGGGCCUAUCUUGUUAUACUAUACAUUGAUUGUUAUGGGAUGUCCGAUUGCCGGUUUUCUCCAGAGAAUGGAUUGUUUUCUGGAGUAGAUCUACCUUUCGCCAAGCCUGGUUCAUAUGGCUAGUUCAGCCUCUGACCUAAGUAAGGGCAUUUACACUUUGUUAAGAGAAGUUCAGGUCGGGAUAAUUUUUGUGUAAGUCAUAAGAUUUGAUGUCAUCAUUGGAGGCCUGAUGAUGACUUAAUACAGUGAAUAUUUUACCAAUAUCAGCUAGACCUGACAUUGCUGUUUUGGAAGAUGAUUGCCAUUACUCCACCAGAGUUGCCCACUAUCAGCACUAAGAGGAGGUCAUAAUCGAGAUUGGCCCUUUGGAUGAUUUCUCAUCAAGCUCAGUCAACUCAAAAAUUCCUAGUAUUGGCCACUUAAGUUGUUAUUCUCUACACAGCUGGCUUGGUGUUAUCAUUAUCAAAGGGUUUACCUUAUUAAUGGUAAGUAAAAUUGAAGAGAACCAAAGACUCACAUCAGCUUAUAGACAAGAUGACAGUGUCAGUACUAGUGGUUGUAUUCUUGUUGAGUGUCAGUAAAAUUAUUAGUCAAUGUCCACCUUCCUCAGGUAUCUACCUGAUGCAUAAUGGAAACUGUUAUACUAAUGGAUCAUAUUUCUUAGAUGAUGACAUUAAAGGAUACAGUAACAGUAUCCAGUGUGUAUUAGCUGGUAUUACUCUGAAUGGUGGAGAGUGGGUUACUAAUAAUGGAUCAUCAAUUGACUGUAGCACUGAUCCUCUUCGUUGUAAUGUCAUGUCUUCACCUGAUACUACUGUUGGCCUUUAUAUUAAUGGAGACAUUGAACUAUUUGAUGAUGGCUGGUACAAGUGUUGUCUACCAACUGAUUGUUCAGAUUCAAACACUAACAUAAUCUUUGCUAAUAUAUA